rnacentral:rRNA from 1 species
CUACGGGCUGCUCCAGUGGGGAAUAUUGCACAAUGGGCGGAAGCCUGAUGCAGCAACGCCGCGUGAGGGACGACGGCCUUCGGGUUGUAAACCUCUUUUAGCAGGGAAGAAGCGAAAGUGACGGUACCUGCAGAAAAAGCACCGGCUAACUACGUGCCAGCAGCCGCGGAAAUACGUAGGGUGCAAGCGUUGUCCGGAAUUAUUGGGCGUAAAGAGCUCGUAGGCGGUUUGUCGCGUCUGCUGUGAAAAUCCGAGGCUCAACCUCGGACCUGCAGUGGGUACGGGCAAACUAGAGUGCGGUAGGGGAGAUUGGAAUUCCUGGUGUAGCGGUGGAAUGCGCAGAUAUCAGGAGGAACACCAAUGGCGAAGGCAGAUCUCUGGGCCGUAACUGACGCUGAGGAGCGAAAGCGUGGGGAGCGAACAGGAUUAGAUACCCGCGUAGUC